rnacentral:lncRNA from 1 species
CUGGGGGGUAAAACCAGAAUUAUUUUGUCUGACAGCUGAGCCCGUAUACUUGUGAUCCCUGACAGGGCUCUGAACACAGCUCUGUCCCCGCUCAGAGACCCUGGAGAGACCUGUGGCUAUUCCUUCAGAGUUAUCCACUGAAAUCAAUAAUUUUGAUCUAUUUUUCUUACUUUUUCCCUUUACUUUUAAAGACGUCCUACUUCCGGCCCCGCGGUGCCCUCAGCGCUUCCCGCCUCGGCACGGCCCCUCCCGGCUCCUCCCGCCUCCCGCUCCGGCUCCUCCCGCCUCAGCGCUUCCCGCCGGCUCCCUCAGGAGCUACCGGGAGUCAGGAGCCGCUGCAGCCCUCGGCGGCCGCCGGAGCCCCGCUCCCGCCAGGAGAGGAGGAUGAGGUGAGAGCGCGGUGGAGGGACGGACAACAGCGGGGCAGCGGCCGCCUUAGAGCUGCUGGAGAAGUCUACAGAAGGUUUCUUCCUCCUGGCCAAUGCACUCUAUGAUGAUUCAGCUGCUCAUAAAGCUCUGGAUGGAGCUGGUGAGCUCCAGAGCUGUGUGAGACACACUGGGAACUUACUGCAAUCUGGAUGUGGAAACAUCUGCACUGUGUGAUACCAGUUAAAUGGCUGCUCACAUGUUUCUCUGGUGAGUA